GGGUCUCUCUAGGUGGACCAGAUCUGAGCCUGGGCGCUCUCUGGCUACCUAGGGAACCCAC
rnacentral:pre_miRNA from 17 species